rnacentral:misc_RNA from 1 species
GGGUGAUAGCGAAGGCCAUAGGAUUGUGAGCUCUACUGCGUUGUGGAGGGGUGACCGCCGGCCAGCCCAAAUUGUCCAGGUAUCGCAGUUGGAGCAGGACAUUGAACGAGCACCUCAACAGGGAGAAAGUGGGCCCGUAGCAUUUGAUACAGAUUAUAUUCGAUGGUUAGAAGAACACGACAAACACAUCAAUGAGUUAAGGAACGCUGUCAAAUCACAUGCACGUGAUCCUGAACUGCGAAGAAUUGCGGAUAAUGUCACUGCACAUUACGAUG